rnacentral:rRNA from 1 species
GACGAACCGUCCAAACGUUAUUCGGAAUUACUGGGCUUAAAGGGUGCGUAGGCGGCGCGGAAAGUUGGGUGUGAAAUCCCUCGGCUCAACCGAGGGACUGCGCCCAAUACUACCGUGCUUGAGGGAGAUAGAGGUGAGCGGAACUUAGGGUGGAGCGGUGAAAUGCGUUGAUAUCCUAAGGAACACCGGUGGCGAAAGCGGCUCACUGGAUCUCUUCUGACGCUGAGGCACGAAAGCUAGGGUAGCGAACGGG